UACGUAGGGGGCAAGCGUUGUCCGGAAUCAUUGGGCGUAAAGAGCGUGUAGGCGGCCCGGUAAGUCUGUUGUGAAAGUCCAGGGCUCAACCCUGGAAUGCCGAUGGAUACUGCCGGGCUAGAGUUCGGAAGAGGCGAGUGGAAUUCCUGGUGUAGCGGUGGAAUGCGCAGAUAUCAGGAGGAACACCUAUAGCGAAGGCAGCUCGCUGGGACGACACUGACGCUGAGACGCGAAAGCGUGGGGAGCGAACAGG
rnacentral:rRNA from 1 species